rnacentral:antisense_RNA from 1 species
UUUGUAUACUGGGCAAAGCAUCCAGGAUCUUUGGCACCUAUUACUUUUAGAACAUCACAUCUUGCAAAUUCACCCUUCUUGCAUGACUCACACUCUCCACAGUAUAGUGUAGGAC